GUGAGGAAUAUUGCGCAAUGGAGGCAACUCUGACGCAGCCAUGCCGCGUGCAGGAAGAAGGCGCUACGCGUUGUAAACUGCUUUUAACCGGGAAGAAACCCCAGGACGUGUCCUGGGUUGACGGUACCGGAGGAAUAAGCACCGGCUAACUUCGUGCCAGCAGCCGCGGUAAUACGAAGGGUGCAAGCGUUAUCCGGAUUCAUUGGGUUUAAAGGGUGCGUAGGCGGAGCGUUAAGUCAGUGGUGAAAUCCUGCAGCUUAACUGUAGACUUGCCAUUGAUACUGGCGCUCUUGAGUGCGCUUGAAGUGGGCGGAAUGUGCAGUGUAGCGGUGAUAUGCUUAGAUAUGGUACAGAACACCAAUUGCGAAGGCAGCUCACUAAGGCGAUACUGACGCUGAGGCACGAAAGCGUGGGGAUCGAACAGGAUUAGAAACCCGUGUAGUCC
rnacentral:rRNA from 1 species